rnacentral:rRNA from 1 species
AGACCCGAAACCCGGUGAUCUAGCCAUGGGCAGGUUGAAGGUUGGGUAACACUAACUGGAGGACCGAACCGACUAAUGUUGAAAAAUUAGCGGAUGACUUGUGGCUGGGGGUGAAAGGCCAAUCAAACCGGGAGAUAGCUGGUUCUCCCCGAAAGCUAUUUAGGUAGCGCCUCGUGAAUUCAUCUCCGGGGGUAGAGCACUGUUUCGGCAAGGGGGUCAUCCCGACUUACCAACCCGAUGCAAACUGCGAAUACCGGAGAAUGUUAUCACGGGAGACACACGGCGGGUGCUAACGUCCGUCGUGAAGAGGGAAACAACCCAGACCGCCAGCUAAGGUCCCAAAGUCAUGGUUAAGUGGGAAACGAUGUGGGAAGGCCCAGACAGCCAGGAUGUUGGCUUAGAAGCAGCCAUCAUUUAAAGAAAGCGUAAUAGCUCACUGGUCGAGUCGGCCUGCGCGGAAGAUGUAACGGGGCUAAACCAUGCACCGAAGCUGCGGCAGCGACACUGUGUGUUGUUGGGUAGGGGAGCGUUCUGUAAGCCUGUGAAGGUGUGCUGUGAGGCAUGCUGGAGGUAUCAGAAGUGCGAAUGCUGACAUAAGUAACGAUAAAGCGGGUGAAAAGCCCGCUCGCCGGAAGACCAAGGGUUCCUGUCCAACGUUAAUCGGGGCAGGGUGAGUCGACCCCUAAGGCGAGGCCGAAAGGCGUAGUCGAUGGGAAACAGGUUAAUAUUCCUGUACUUGGUGUUACUGCGAAGGGGGGACGGAGAAGGCUAUGUUGGCCGGGCGACGGUUGUCCCGGUUUAAGCGUGUAGGCUGGUUUUCCAGGCAAAUCCGGAAAAUCAAGGCUGAGGCGUGAUGACGAGGCACUACGGUGCUGAAGCAACAAAUGCCCUGCUUCCAGGAAAAGCCUCUAAGCAUCAGGUAACAUCAAAUCGUACCCCAAACCGACACAGGUGGUCAGGUAGAGAAUACCAAGGCGCUUGAGAGAACUCGGGUGAAGGAACUAGGCAAAAUGGUGCCGUAACUUCGGGAGAAGGCACGCUGAUAUGUAGGUGAAGUCCCUCGCGGAUGGAGCUGAAAUCAGUCGAAGAUACCAGCUGGCUGCAACUGUUUAUUAAAAACACAGCACUGUGCAAACACGAAAGUGGACGUAUACGGUGUGACGCCUGCCCGGUGCCGGAAGGUUAAUUGAUGGGGUCAGCGCAAGCGAAGCUCUUGAUCGAAGCCCCGGUAAACGGCGGCCGUAACUAUAACGGUCCUAAGGUAGCGAAAUUCCUUGUCGGGUAAGUUCCGACCUGCACGAAUGGCGUAAUGAUGGCCAGGCUGUCUCCACCCGAGACUCAGUGAAAUUGAACUCGCUGUGAAGAUGCAGUGUACCCGCGGCAAGACGGAAAGACCCCGUGAACCUUUACUAUAGCUUGACACUGAACAUUGAGCCUUGAUGUGUAGGAUAGGUGGGAGGCUUUGAAGUGUGGACGCCAGUCUGCAUGGAGCCGACCUUGAAAUACCACCCUUUAAUGUUUGAUGUUCUAACGUGG